rnacentral:rRNA from 2 species
CAACAUGAGAGUUUGAUCCUGGCUCAGAACGAACGCUGGCGGCAGGCUUAACACAUGCAAGUCG